rnacentral:rRNA from 1 species
AACGGCCGCGGUACCCUAACCGUGCGAAGGUAGCAUAAUCACUUGUUCUUUAAAUAGGGACUCGUAUCAACGGCAUCACGAGGGCUAUACUGUCUCCUUUCUCUAAUCAGUGAAACUGAUCUCCUCGUGAAGAAGCGAGGAUAGUUUUAUAAGACGAGAAGACCCCAUGGAGCUUUAAACCCAAUGUACAUCUCUACGCAUAUAAGCCCCAAUAGCCCAAGAAAAUUGUAUGUUGGUUUUGGGUUGGGGGGACCGCGGAGAAAAAAUUAACCUCCACGACAAACGGGCCUAUGCCCUUAUCCAUGAGCUACCACUCUAAGAAUCAAUAAACUGAUGUUCAGUGACCCAAUUUAUUGAUCAACGAACCAAGUUACCCUGGGGAUAACAGCGCAAUCUACUUCAAGAGCCCCUAUCGACAAGUAGGUUUACGACCUCGAUGUUGGAUCAGGGUAUCCUAGUNNNNNNCUAGCCAGUCUACCCAAGCAAAAUGAAACUUUUAGUUUGUCAUCCCGAAACUAAGCGAGCUACUUCAAAAUAGCCUAAAGGGCUAACCCGUCUCUGUUGCAAAAGAGUGGGGAGAUUUUUAAGUAGAGGUGAAAAGCCUACCGAGCCUAGAGAUAGCUGGUUGUUCAGGAAAAGAGUCUUAGCUCUACCUUAAAUUUUAUGGUGACCCAAACACACCCCUUGAUUUAAGAGCUAUUCAAAUAAGGUACAGCUUAUUUGAAACAGGGUACAACCUCUAACACCGGGUAAACAUGGAGAGCCCGAACAAAGUGGGCCUAAAAGCAGCCACCUUUUAAAAAGCGUUAAAGCUUGACCAUUAUUCCUUUCCCCUAAUUCCUCAAACAUCUUCUAACCCUUAACUACUACUGAACUAUUUUAUAUUUUUAUAAGAGCAAUUAUGCUAGAACUAGUAACAAGAAAUUACGCCUUUCUCCUUAAUGUAAGCAUAAACCAAAAUGGACCUCCCAUUGGUAAUUAACGUAAAUGUUCCUAUUAUAGCAACAUUUCUAGAAAACCCUAUAAAUAUGUACGUUAAUCUUACACCAGCACAUUACAGGAAAGAUUAAAAGAGAAGAGACUCGCAACC